GUUCCCUGCAGCCCCACAUUGGUCCCAUCCCCGACCGACUCCAAACCGCACCAGCCGCCAGCCGCCAGCCGCCUCCUGCCUACCGCCGGCCGCCGCGCCCUUCCCCGGCAGGCUGCCAACUCUAGCCGCCCUUCCUUCCAGUGGCUGCGCGCCUGCGCCCUCUGCUUCCGCGCCGGUGCCGGCCACCGCGCCCAGUCGCCACCCGCCAGCGGCCAGCGGCCAGCUGCAGCAGUCUCCUCGGCGGCCGGCGGUGUGCAGGCGUGCACCCUGGCCCAGGGGCCUGGAGACGUGCAGCAUAGAAGGCUAGCAGCUAGGGGCUGAGAAGCUGUACAUAGCCGAAGAAAUAUGACUCCAGAGGAAGCUGAAAAGGUGUGCCGUAUAUCUUCGUUUAUGUAUGCAUGGAUGCGAGAGCAUGCCUGGAAGGGAUUCGUCUUUAUGCGGUCUGGUCGCGACUACCUGUUAUCAUGGUCAGCGACAGCGAUUUUACCUCUGUUAUUCAGGCCUUAGCAGGCAAUGAGCAUUGCAUUUCUAGAUUGGGUGCCAUAUUCAGUGAAAUUCAGAGAGAGGCUGAAACAUUAACUGGCUGCAAGUUUGUGUUAGCCAAAAGAGAGCAAAUCGAGCAGUUCAGGAGACAGCGGCCUUUGUCCGCCAAACAGGAGUCAUUGGUAUUUGGGAGUCUGUUUUACCAGAGAUAAUAGCCCAUGAAAUUGACACUGAUUAUAAUGGCCAAUUUCAAAUGAACACAUAAACUCUGUUUUCCCGGACAUAAUAGCCUCAUGAAAAUGACACUGAUUGUAGUUCCCAUGAAAGUGUGGUGUGAGCCUGUUCUUGCAAAAACAAAGUAACCCUUCUUCAGGUAAUGGCAAAAGCAUUAUUUUAGUCCCAUGCAUGCUUCAUUUUGAACAAUUACUGCUACAUAAUUAGACAUGAUUUGUAAGCCCUGGCAACUCUAAUGUUGCCAAUUUCAAAGUGGGAGAUAUGUUUCUUCCUUAAUAUACAUAUACUACUCACUGACACUAGGUAUUUUUUUAUUUGUCUAUUUUAAAUUGCCUUCACUCUGUUCUAUCCUUUGGGGCCUUUGUAGUUAUUUUCCCUUCCUUUUGUGAUUGGAACUAUUGUAAAAUUAGGAUUACUCUCUGGAGCAGGACCGCUUUGCGAUUCAACGGACAUACCUUAAACUUUCUAGGUCGGCUAGAGUCGUCUUUGUUGGAAUUGCAGGAGACUGCACUAACCCCUUUGGGUGGUAGCUCAACUAGGGAUUUACCUUAAGCACUCAAUUCACGUAUAGAUCUUGGUUUGCUGCUGAAGCCAUAAUCACUUUCCUGCUAUAGGUUCUAUUUUGUUGCCUGGAUAUGUUGUUUGCACAUAUGGUGUAGCCUGACGGCGUUGUCUGCAUAUCAUUUUUUUUAUAUGCUUGCAGUAAUAUUAGUAAAAAUAUGUGAUAUGUAGGUUCUAGCACAGAGUAAAUAUCUUAUCAUGGCUGUGAUAUUAGUGUGAUCCAUUUUUUAUUUAUGUAAUCGUGAAUAGGAAUAUUAGUUGCUGUGAUAUUAUUUUCUAUGAUUUCUGGAAGAUAUAUAUUUUGCCUAGGUAUGGAAAUAAAUUAUUAUUCCAAAUGACCCACCAAAUGUAUGAUCUCAGCAACUUUUCCUUUAUAUGUCAGUUAAUGUGCUAUUGUACUUUGUUGUGAACAUAAUACUUAUAUCCUUAUAUUUAUGUGUAUAUAUUCUUGGUUAUGGCUGUUUUGUCUCAGGCUAUAGGGAGCCAUCGUUCUUACCAAAACACUCCUUCCCUUCACAAAUAUAAGAUGUUUUUACUUUUUUCUGGAUCGGAUGUAUAUAGACACAUUUUAGUGUGUUUGUUCACCCAUUUCAAUCCAUAUGUACUCCAUAUUAAAAUAUCCAAAACAUGUUAUAUUUGUGAAUGGAGGGAAUAACUUUGAUUAGAAUUGCCCAUGCUUAAUUCGGUGCUAUAAUUUUGGUAAGAAUAUGUUCUUUAGUCUGUUUGAUUUAUGUUUUGAACUAAACUGGACAGCCAAUUUGUGCACAUAGAUUUGGGCACCACUACUAUUUGACUUGGUUUUGGUGCUAUGUUGGGCACAAACCAAACAGGCCAAACCCUCCUAAAUCGAAAUGAAACUUCAGCUUUAGGACCUGUUUGGGAUGGUGAUAUAUUUUUCUGUGGGCAUCGUUGUUUUUUGAAUGGUGGUAUUUUUCCAAACAGGCCUUUAUCUGUACAAUUUUACAUGGGUAAUGUGAUUAGUUCGUAGUACUAAUUAGUUACUAUUCCCUCUACACAAAUUUAAACUGCAAAAACGUCUUACAUUUGUUUAUAGAGGGAGUACUUCCUUUGAUAAUUUCGUUCUUUUCAAUUCAAUUAAGGGAAUCUCUUUUUCUUGGUAUGCGUGAAGUAGACAAAGUAAGGGUCCACUUUACCAUUAUGGCAAUCACAUGGCCCUUUUGUACUAAUGUUAAGAUAAGCUAUUUGGUGUUCAAAGGCGUUAAUCAUGCAGCCCUGGAGUGCCCCGGAUAAGGUUCAUUGCCAUUAGAGAAAGCCCCGCUGCACAUGGCUCCUGUUCUUUUUUCUCGAACACACACCAAAGUGCAUGUCAUUUUGUAUUAGAACAUGGCUCCUGCUCUUGCUAGCAGACAGGAAAUUUUGGUGCUUGAUACGGUCGUUAACCUAUAGGUGCAAUCAUCACUGCCAAAAUUGCUGCGAGUUCCAUUCAGAUGAAUCUGAUGCCUGCAUCUCACUAAUUUUUUUCACUGAACCAGGUCAGUAUUUCAGCACCGUGCUCAAUACUCUAAUCCGUACUGCAUUUUGCAAUUAUAGACAUGUGUAUCUCUCAGCCUACUUGCAGUUGGGCAGUCUGCAUACUAAGAUGUGCUCUUGCACCAAAUUAGGUGAGCAUGGUAACACAGGGUUUAUUUACUUAGCUAUCUUUUUUUUUUUUUAGCUUUGGUGUGUUCCACAGCUGGACACGAGUCCAAAUAUUGUUUUACAGCUAGCUACUGUUUGACCCUAACUAAGAGCUGAUAGCGCCAUGUCUGUUGAGUUAGGCCAUGUUUCUCCAGGCAUCUUCUACUUUCAAUAAUUGGCAGGGCCGGCCGGAACAAUAAUCUCUAGUUUGCCUCGUACGUACAGGCCUUUCUAACAUAGGCAACAAAAGCAGGAGACAGAUCUCCGAUUUUCCUUUUGAUACGUGUUGCCGGGAAUCUUGUUGAUUAUUGGAGCCUAGUGGCCUUUUGUGUCUGGAACUUGCCUCUCAGGCCAUCAUCUUAGCCAUCCUUUUCCUUUGCAUCCUAUUAGGGCAGAUUGAGACCACUUGCACACCUCAAACUUCUGCCGGGCCUUUCCUUCCCGAGGGAUCAAAAAGGUUGAUACCGGCUAUUAAUAGAAUAGUAAAAGAUCGGGACAUGGACAUCCCCGGGUGUCGGCAUCACCUAUGGCACAUCACUUCUUUAACGAUCCUUUGGCAUCUGUCAAUCUUGGCCAUAACGUUACACUUCCUAUUGUUUAGAGACUCUGAGAACUGCAUUGCAUCGCACGUACACUCGCUGAUUGUUUAUCUUAGGUGUAUGAAUGCAUUGAUUUUUUUUUCAGAAGGUAAGGUAAAUGCAUUGAAUUUUUUGAGAAGGUAAGGUGAAUGCAUUGUUUGACUUGAAAACAUUAAACCAAUUGAUUGCGUGAGGUGUAGAACACUAGUACUGGAAGAGGCAAGAAGGGAGAGAACAAAAUCUCCAUGCCCAUGGCCCAUGGGGGAUAUGACUUUGUUUCUUGAGGAGGCUGGAGAGGAUACAUCAACUUCAUAGUUUGUUCUUGGACCCAGUACAUACAGAUGACACAUACAUACACACAUGCUUGCUAAGCAUGUCCUUUUGUUUUUCAUGUGUGUCACCAUCCUUCUAUCUCUCUUACUCCCUCUCCUUUUCAACCUGAUGUUUCCUGAAACCUGCCACCUGCUAAGGGCCCCGUACUGCGAUGCGAUCGAGUAGGGUCUCUGGAAGACCAGAAGAAAGAAACAUAGAAAAAAAGGGCACUCUGUGGAUGGAAGGAAGAUUGCCCGGGAAACAAGGGAUCUUCCACUUCCUCUUCCUUUUCCUUCCAAGGGUCAAUUCAAGCCUGUCACUCGGUCCAGAGUAGCCUAGUAGGCUGUCUGGUGGGAGUAGUAACUAGUUUCACUGCUGGUUGUUAGGAUACUCGAGCAUGGCUUCAGACCUCACCAUCUUAUGAACUGGCCCUGUUGUCAAAAAAUAUUGUACUUUAAAUUGAGAAAUUCGGUUAUAUAUAUGUGCUACUGAAUAUCUACAGAUGUGUCUGAAUGCAAUUGAACUUUUGGUGAUGUUUACAGUACUGACCAGUAAGCUGGCACCGUGACCACUGCAGCGUAGGGGCUCUGGUGGGUGUAGUCGUACAUUGGCGUUGCUGCCUCUGCCUCUGGCUCCGGACCGCAGUCGAGGUUGACUCCGAACAGCCGGAGACGUCUCGACGGCGGCCCCGAUGCCGUACUGCUCUUGGCAUUUGCCUCUCUCGGCGAGUCACCUGCAAGAAUUCACCGGAGAAUGGUGUAAGAGAUAUCAUGUCGCUGUGAUCUUGCUCCACGGAGCGGCGAUAGGCGUGGGAGUUGGCAGGGCUGGUAGGGUAUGAUCCUGACGUGCUAUAGCACAUCGGGCUCCAAGGCUGCUGCUCCCCGGCGUUCAGAGCAGGCGGAGAUACGCGGACUGGUGGUGGCAGCGCGCUCUUGCCACGGCGCCUGCAGCAGAUGAAGAGACGGUCGCCUGUGCCAAG